GACGAACCGUGCGAACGUUGUUCGGAAUCACUGGGCUUAAAGGGCGCGUAGGCGGGCUGUCAAGUCAGGGGUGAAAUCCCCACGGCUCAACCCGUGGAAGUGCCUUUGAUACUGAUGGCCUCGAGGGGAGGUAGGGGCGUGCGGAACUUCCGGUGGAGCGGUGAAAUGCGUAGAUAUCGGAAGGAACGCCGGUGGCGAAAGCGGCGCGCUGGACCUCUUCUGACGCUGAGGCGCGAAAGCCAGGG
rnacentral:rRNA from 1 species